rnacentral:rRNA from 1 species
AUACGUAGGUGGCAAGCGUUAUCCGGAAUUAUUGGGCGUAAAGGGUGCGCAGUCGGCUGAUUAAGUUUGUGGUGAAAGUGCGGGGCUUAACUCCGUAUGGCCAUGAAAACUGGUUAGCUAGAGUGCAGAAGAGGGUAGUGGAAUUCCAUGUGUAGCGGUAAAAUGCGUAGAUAUAUGGAGGAACACCAGUGGCGAAGGCGGCUACCUGGUCUGUAACUGACGAUGAGGCACGAAAGCGUGGGGAGCAAAUAGGAUUAGAUACCCUAGUAGUCCACGCUGUAAACGAUGAAUACUAAGUGUUGGGGAAACUCAGUGCUGCAGUUAACGCAAUAAGUAUUCCGCCUGGGGAGUAUGCACGCAAGUGUGAA